AUUGAACGCUGGCGGCAUGCUUUACACAUGCAAGUCGAACGGCAGCGCGGGCUUCGGCCUGGCGGCGAGUGGCGAACGGGUGAGUAAUGCAUCGGAACGUGCCCAGUAGUGGGGGAUAGCCCGGCGAAAGCCGGAUUAAUACCGCAUACGACCUGAGGGUGAAAGCGGGGGACCGAAAGGCCUCGCGCUAUUGGAGCGGCCGAUGUCGGAUUAGCUAGUUGGUGGGGUAAAGGCUUACCAAGGCGACGAUCCGUAGCUGGUCUGAGAGGACGACCAGCCACACUGGGACUGAGACACGGCCCAGACUCCUAAGGGAGGCAGCAGUGGGGAAUUUUGGACAAAGGGGGCAACCCUGAUCCAGCCAUGCCGCGUGCGGGAAGAAGGCCUUCGGGUUGUAAACCGCUUUUGUUCGGGAAGAAAUCCUCUGGGCUAAUACCCCGGGGGGAUGACGGUACCGGAAGAAUAAGCACCGGCUAACUACGUG
rnacentral:rRNA from 1 species